UGAGUCCUCGGGUAGCCAUGACACUAGACUCCGUGGAUUUUAUGAUAUGGAUGACAUAGUACAUUCAAGUCUCCACAAGUCUUGUUUUUGACAUGAUGAUCCGUGACACCAUCAAGCCAUGUUUGUAUUGGUGUUUUGCAAUUCUAUUGACAUGUUAGGCCAAUUUCGAAAUGUUCCUUCUUGCUAAAUCUGCCCUAGCUGACCAUCAUGUUUUGUCCUUGUUCAAGGAAAACGAGGACUAAACGAGAGACAUGUGUUGCAGCUGGAACGUGUAGCUGCGGGCCAUCACUUGGAAGGGAGCUGGAAGACCCUGGGGACAAGCUUGGCCGGCUUCCUUUCUAGCGCCUUAAUGAACUCUGGUAUAUAUGAUUAUGAUGCAUGUUAUGUUGUAUGUAACUUGCAUGCUGCUGUGCAUCAGCUUUGCCCGGUAUUGUCCGUUGUUGAGGAGGUUUUUGUUGAUUAUAUGUUUGUGUCACUUGGGCUGUGUUGUAUGCGCCAUUGUCUUAAUUGAAGUAUGAUAUUUGCUGUGCAGGUUUGGAUGUCCAAAAAACAGGCAAGGGAUAAGUGGAGCUGGCCCAGGAGGUAGCCAUGGCCGCCGGAUAUGUCCGGCAGGCAGCGGUUCCUUCUUCUUUGACUCCGUGGGUUUAGGGGAAGAGUGGAGCUGGCCCAGGAGGUAGCCAUGGCUGCCGGAUCUGGCCGGCAGGCAGCGGUUCCUUUUUCUUUGACUCCGUGCGUUUAGGUGAGUACUCGGGUAGCCAUGACA